rnacentral:rRNA from 1 species
GGCCGAUGUCUGAUUAGCUAGUUGGUAGGGUAAAAGCUUACCAAGGCAACGAUCAGUAGUUGGUCUGAGAGGAUGGCCAACCACACUGGGACUGAGACACGGCCCAGACUCCUACGGGAGGCAGCAGUGGGGAAUUUUGGACAAUGGGGGAAACCCUGAUCCAGCAAUGCCGCGUGAGUGAAGAAGGCCUUCGGGUUGUAAAGCUCUUUCAGUCGAGAAGAAAAGAUUACGACUAAUAAUCAUAAUUAAUGACGGUAUCGACAGAAGAAGCACCGGCUAACUACGUGCCAGCAGCCGCGGUAAUACGUAGGGUGCGAGCGUUAAUCGGAAUUACUGGGCGUAAAGGGUGCGCAGGCGGUUGUGUAAGUCAGAUGUGAAAUCCCCGGGCUUAACCUGGGAAUUGCGUUUGAAACUACAAAGCUAGA